rnacentral:misc_RNA from 1 species
CCGUGUUUGGAGGCCGGUGUAACUGGACGUCGAUAGUCCGUAUAAACGUAUCGCCGUCCGCAUAGAAUAGGUCUCGUGAUCUUAUCGUCACGGUUUCAUGUAAUGCUAAUGGACACAUGGUAGCCCAAUAUGUACCUUAAACGAAAGGGUUAAUAUGAUAGCGGGAUAAUGCGCGGACAUUAAGGAGCCAGACGAGGCACGCCGGACAAAUUAUGAAGAGAACCAUCCAGACGAAACGAGAUCUCGUUUGUUGCUGCCUCCUCGAAGACACAGCCUUUACCAGCAUUUUCC